GGAGGAGUGCCGGAGCGGUUGAACGGGACGGUCUCGAAAACCGUUGUGGGGGAAACUCCACCCAGGGUUCGAAUCCCUGCUCCUCCGCCA
rnacentral:tRNA from 1 species